CAAGGCAUAUAACUUCUGUUGUUAAACACUCUCCUACUUAACAACACAGACGAUCUCUCUCCGUACGCAUUGGGGUUUGAAAGAAAUUGAUGCAGACCUCCAUCAACUCUCCAACACCUUUGAUCAUACGUAUACUCAAGCAUACUGUAUCUUCUUCUUCCUCGUCUUCCCCAUCAAAACGACGACAUGUUCCGCCGUGUAGUUCCUUCUUCUUCUUCCGCACAAAACGGAGACAUGCACCGUCGUGUAACAUCUUCUUCCCCACUGAUAAGCGAUGACUACAUCCCAAGAACCGUCGAGCAUAUCUUCAUAAAUUAUAGAUUACGUCGCGUCGGCUUGCUUCGAGCUUUCGGUACAGAUGUUGGAACUUUAUACAAUUUAUGCGAUCCGGGUUAUAAGGAGGAUCUGUCUUUAUACGGAUACCCGGAUGGGACAUGGGACGUGCAAGAAGCAUGCAUGGUGCUUCCUCCUAAUCUUCCCGAGCCAGCGGUUGGAAUCAACUUAGCCAGAGAUCGUAUGAGGGCUAUUGAUUGGGUGACGUUGGUGGCUGAGCACUGUGAUUCUUGGUUGCUCUCUCUUGCUUUCUUCUUCAGUGUUGGCCUUAGCCGUGAUGACAGGGGCAGUCUAUUCGAGAGGAUUAAUGAUCUCCCAACUCUUGCUGAAAAAGUGAAGGAAUACUAUCCAGGACAGUUAAACCAAUCAAGGAUCCAGCAAGCAAAUCUAGAAAACUAGAUAGAUAGAGGAAGAGAGAGAGAGCUCUUCACAUGGUUUAGGUAUUGAACAAGACGGUUUUAUGUACAUAUUAGCUGUUUCAAGAACUCAUAUAUCGAAACAUUUCAACUGAGUAUAUACUUGAAUCCUCAACAAUAGAGUUGUAACAUUGUUUCAAAAAAAUCAAGGUUCAUUGAGAAGUAAAAAAAUCUUUAACCAGAAGCGUUGAAUAAGCUUUAAGCUACGCUGCAAUGCAAGCUUCAGAUAAUAAUGGGCCAGGCCCAUGCAAAGUAGGCGUAAUAAAUGGCCUAUUAAACUCAAAGACCAGAGAGAAAGAAAAAGCUGUAACUCUUCUUCUUCUUCUUCUUCUUCUUCUUACAUUUCUUCAUGUCCUGACGCACCCCACGCAUCGGGUUUUGAACACCAUUGAUACUGACCUCAAAUCCAAUCUUUAACACCACUGAUCUACCUCUCAAAUCUCACUGACUCCUACUUCUGUACCCUUUCUUCGUUUCCUUCUACAUCUAUGGCUGCUACUGAGUCCUCUAACCCUAACACCGUGAAAGAGAUCUUCAAAGAUGGUAUGCAGCAUCAAGAUUGGCUCUCUUUAGUUGCUGUCCACAUUGAUUGCUUGCUUCUCUAUGUUUCUUCCUACUUUGGCGCUCGGCUCAGGAGCAAUGAGAAACUAUACUGUAUCCACAUUCAUUUUGAAGGUUGAAGACUACAUUUGUAUCCACUAUGAUCAAUUCAAAUAUUUUUUAUAAGAACAUGUUCACUCAUCCAAUUCAUUAAAGAGACGCAACCUUCUAUAGUGUGAAUUGAAAUGCAACUUGCAUUUUCUAUAGUAUUUUGUUUGAACAACUAUAGUAUAUUAUUAUAUAGUAUUCACUUUUCUGGAUAAGAUUAUAUGCUAUUUCAACGCCAGGUCGACACUUUGUGGUGCCUACCCACCCACUUGAA